rnacentral:rRNA from 1 species
GACGAACCGUGCAAACGUUGUUCGGAAUCACUGGGCUUAAAGGGCGCGUAGGCGGGCGAUCAAGUCUGGGGUGAAAGCCUCCAGCUUAACUGGAGAAGUGCCUUGGAUACUGGUCGCCUCGAGGAAGGUAGGGGCAUCUGGAACAAUGGGUGGAGCGGUGAAAUGCGUUGAUAUCGAUAGGAACUCCGGUGGCGAAGGCGGCAUACUGGAUCACAUCUGACGCUGAGGCGCGAAAGCCAGGGGAGCAAACGGG